AGCCCCGUCGUCUAGUGGCCAAGGACACAGGCCUUUGGAGCCUGGGACUCCGGUUCGAAUCCGGGCGGGGCUA
rnacentral:tRNA from 1 species